GCCACCAAUCUUGCAAUAAUAUCUGUGAGAGGAUCACAUGGUAAGAUGAGUGAGCAGUUAUAAAAUGUUGGAGACUGAGACAGCAUGGAAUCUAGGUCACCAAUCAAAUAAAGAUCCCUUUGUUUCAUGAAGAUUUGAUAAGAAUAAAUGAAAGAAGUGUAUAUGUAGUAGACGCUUAUAGAGUCAACAAGAGAAUGUGAUACAAAGAAUCCUCAUAGUUAGUGUGCGUGUGUUGGCCAAGCGGUACGGAGUUAAUGCUUGAGGUCAAAGGUAUUGGUUCGAUUAAUACUGUUAAUUUAUCAGAGAAAAAAAGGAAAAGAAAAGAAAGAAUCCUCAUAUUAGUGCAUAAGUAACUCUACAUAACAUCACCUUUGGCCUUUGGCUACUAUAUUCAAAAUUUAAUUUGGGUCUCCCCUCUUUCCUAACUAAAUCCUCAAAAAGUGGGAAUGCACACUCAAAGAACAAGCACCAACUACAUCCCUGAUCUGACCAGAUUAAACAAAUGAACUGCUACAUCAACCACAAGAGUAGAUGGCUACAAUGACAUAUCUUGCCAAUGACAUAUCUUGCCAACUUUCUUCCAGAAGCUGCUUCUGCAGAUUGAACCAGCUUUGCUUCCUCGUAUCUUUUGCUAUCCGGGAAGCUGCCUCUGUGGGAGCGUUUACUUUGCAUGAUUGAUAAGAUGCAUGUUUGAGUAUUUUUAUCCUCAAGAGUAGGAUUUCUCCAAUCUCAUCCUUUGAAUGGGAUAUGAAUCAAACAGAAUUAACUUAAAUGAUAAAAAUAAUCAAGGGCCUUGGGAUAUCCCACAGUUUCAAUCCAUCAAAGUAAACAAGGGAUUAACCUUCAAAGUAAACGUCCCCUGUGUGAAUGGUAAGAAAGAGAGCUCAAAAAAUGGAAAAAUCACUUGCUUGGUACAUUUUUGCCUUUGUAAAAGAAACCUAACCAACAUUUAUCUUCUAAGGGUGUGUUUACUUUGAUAGAAAAUGUUAGAAAAAAUAUAUUUUCCAUCAUUUUCACAUGUUUCCUAUGAUGGAUAAUUUUCUCCGAUCAGACUGUAAAAUUUAUUCGGGCAGCCCAUUUUCACUCAUUUUCUCACAAAUGUUGGAUAAUAUUAUCCUAUUGGGAGGGUGUGAAAAUUAUUUCCAGCAUUUCAAUUUGUUUAUCCAUCUAUUUCUAUCAAAGUAAACACAUGAUAAAAAAAAGGAGAAAAAGAUAAUAUUACCUCAACUUUUCUUAUCCAUCCUUUUCAAAUGAAAAUUUUACAACCAAAGUAAACACACCCUAAAACUCAAAAGAGCAGUAUCACAGUAGAACCAGAAAAUAAAAAAUUUCCAAGUACACCGACACUUUGUUACAGC
rnacentral:lncRNA from 1 species